rnacentral:misc_RNA from 1 species
GAAAUGCGAUAAGUAAUGUGAAUUGCAGAAUUCAGUGAAUCAUCGAAUCUUUGAACGCACAUUGCGCCCGCCAGUAUUCUGGCGGGCAUGCCUGUUCGAGCGUCAUUUCAACCAUCAAGCCCCCGGCUUGUGUUGGGGACCUGCGGCUGCCCGCAGGCCCUGAAAAACAGUGGCGGGCUCGCUGUCACACCGCGCGUAGUAGCAUACAUUCUCGCUCAGGGCGUGCUGCGGGUUCCGGCCGUUAAACGACCUUCAUAACCCAAGGUUGACCUCGGAUCAGGUAGGAAGACCCGCUGAACUUAAGC